GACGAACGCUGGCGGCGUGCUUAACACAUGCAAGUCGAACGAAAAGAGGGAAAGAGCUUGCUCUUUCCGGAAUUGAGUGGCAAACGGGUGAGUAACACGUAAACAACCUGCCUUCAGGAUGGGGACAACAGACGGAAACGACUGCUAAUACCGAAUAAGUUCCAAGAGCCGCAUGGCCCAUGGAAGAAAAGGUGGCCUCUACCUGUAAGCUAUCGCCUGAAGAGGGGUUUGCGGCUGAUUAGCUGGUUGGAGGGGUAACGGCCCACCAAGGCGACGAUCAGUAGCCGGUCUGAGAGGAUGGACGGCCACACUUGAACUGAGACACGGUCCAGACUCCUACGGGAGGCAGCAGUGGGGAAUCUUCCGCAAUGGGCGGAAGCCUGACGGAGCAACGCCGCGUGAGUGAUGACGGCCUUCGGGUUGUAAAACUCUGUGAUCCGGGACGAAAAGGCAGAGUGCGAAGAACAAACUGCAUUGACGGUACCGGAAAAGCAAGCCACGGCUAACUACGUG
rnacentral:rRNA from 1 species